UAGACAGCCCCUUUAUCUCACUGUGGGCCAGGUCCAGCACAGGUGAUUGCGUGACAAAAUUCUUACACAUUGUCCUCCCAAUCAGCCUCUUCCCUGCCCUGGAGGAUCCCCAUCUUGAGGGUUGUUCAGUCUCCAUAGCCCAUUCAAUCCUUGGCUUCU
rnacentral:sRNA from 1 species